GACGAACGCGGCGGCGUGCCUAAUACAUGCAAGUAGAACGCUGAAGGAGGGAGCUUGCUUCUCAGGGUGAGUUGCGAACGGGUGAGUAACGCGUAGGUAACCUGCCUGGUAGCGGGGGAUAACUAUUGGAAAACGAUAGCUAAUACCGCAUAAGAGUAGAUGUUGCAUGACAUUUGCUUAAAAGGUGCAAUUGCAUCACUACCAGAUGGACCUGCGUUGUAUUAGCUAGUUGGUGGGGUAACGGCUCACCAAGGCGACGAUACAUAGCCGACCUGAGAGGGUGAUCGGCCACACUGGGACUGAGACACGGCCCAGACUCCUACGGGAGGCAGCAGUAGGGAAUCUUCGGCAAUGGACGGAAGUCUGACCGAGCAACGCCGCGUGAGUGAAGAAGGUUUUCGGAUCGUAAAGCUCUGUUGUAAGAGAAGAACGAGUGUGAGAGUGGAAAGUUCACACUGUGACGGUAUCUUACCAGAAAGGGACGGCUAACUACGUGCCAGCAGCCGCGGUAAUACGUAGGUCCCGAGCGUUGUCCGGAUUUAUUGGGCGUAAAGCGAGCGCAGGCGGUUAGAUAAGUCUGAAGUUAAAGGCUGUGGCUUAACCAUAGUACGCUUUGGAAACUGUUUAACUUGAGUGCAAGAGGGGAGAGUGGAAUUCCAUGUGUAGCGGUGAAAUGCGUAGAUAUAUGGAGGAACACCGGUGGCGAAAGCGGCUCUCUGGCUUGUAACUGACGCUGAGGCUCGAAAGCGUGGGGAGCAAACAGG
rnacentral:rRNA from 1 species